GGGGGCGACCAGGUUUCGACGGGGAUUCAAGAAGCUGGAGCUGCAGGCCGGGGACUUCUCGAUUCUGCCCCGUUACCAAGGUCGAGAAACCACAAUUGCCAACGAUAACUUGGCCCUGGCCGCCUAACCUAGUUAGGUGACCUGCCCGCCUCACCUUUU
rnacentral:tmRNA from 1 species